rnacentral:lncRNA from 1 species
UAAACACAUUGUAUCGCAGGAUGAAUGUGGGCAACCAAGUGAACUAUGGCAAGGCAUCCUCACAUAUAGUCCUACGAGGAAAAUUAAUAAAUAAAUAUAUACUCUCUCUAUUACUUAAUUUAUUAUGGUGUAGACACCUUCAAAAUGACUUUCUUACAACCAAAAUCCGAGUCCAUCUUACCCAAACCCAGCUGCUUUGAUCUAGAGUGAUCCCAAUUUUAGCCAACC